CUGAGGUAAUCUUCCAUUACUGUGGACCUCAUUUUAUCGGACCUAUUCUGCCGGGUUUAAAAAAAAAAUGAAAGUAAUAUCAGCAUAGCUAAAAUAGGCAGUAACAUUAUUAUCCUGUUUGGGGUUUAACCAGUACCUAAAAAACCCAGAAUUCCGAAUCCUCUAAAAAUGCUCCAAAAAACAGCUCUUUAACCGAUAGAUCUCAAGACAGACCACCCCAGCCUGCCAUUUCUUGGCAAACACUGAUAAUAAAUGAGGGAAAAAUUUUAUAGAAUAAAUAUUCAUUUAUUAUACUGGUUAUUAAAUUUCUGUCUGGUGGAUAAAAGAUAUCAGAAACAGAAACAAAAGAAAAUCGUAACAGAUUCUUCCUGUAAUCUACAUUAGAUAAUUUUUACUUUAUAUGCUUCUGCCGAAUUAUAUAUCAACUCAUAAAAAUAAGAUAAAAUCCACACAAAAAAUCCUCUGAAAAUCUAAGAAUUACCAGAAAAGUGUCACUGCUGGAGAUCUGAUUCAAUCACUUGAAGCCUAAGGAAAUGAGAAUAAAGUCGUUCCUUGAAGUGAGAGAAAGUAGGGAAAGAUAAACCAAAUAGAAAGACCAAUUCACCUGCAAUCUACAACUAU
rnacentral:lncRNA from 1 species